UCGAGAGGAAAUCGAGGGACGCUGUCCCUCAAAGCAACUGAAAUAUAGCGAAGAAGCUCGGCAGUUGCAGUAAACUAUUUCCUUUGCCUUCAGGUUAUCACCCAGGACGCCGCUGGGCUGUUCUAGUUCCCGCGAUAGGCCAUUGGUAGCAGAAGCCAGUCAACGCCACCACUACACAGAGAAUCAAAGACAAGCUGGGUUGGAAAUCCGUCUGGUCCGUUCCCACCCCCACUUUGCAGGCUUUGCAACCAGCACAGAGCCCAAAGCGGGGCUUGAAC